rnacentral:rRNA from 1 species
CGGAGCAAUACCGCGUGAGGGAGGAAGGCCUUUGGGUUGUAAACCUUUUUUCUCAGGGGAGAAAAACAAAUGCCGGUACUUGAGGAAUCAGCAUCGGCUAACUCCGUCCCAGCAGCCGCGGUAAYACGGAGGACGCAAGCGUUAUCCGGAAUUAUUGGGCGUAAAGCGUCCGCAGGUGGAGUAACAAGUCUGCUUMAAAACGCAGAGCUUAACUCCAAAAAGCCGGUGGAAAC